UGGGGAAUCUUGGACAAUGGGCGCAAGCCUGAUCCAGCCAUGCCGCGUGAGUGAUGAAGGCCCUAGGGUUGUAAAACUCUUUCGUGGGGGACGAUAAUGACGGUACCCCAAGAAGAAGCUCCGGCUAACUUCGUGCCAGCAGCCGCGGUAAUACGAAGGGGGCUAGCGUUGUUCGGAUUUACUGGGCGUAAAGCGCGUGUAGGCGGGCUGGAAAGUUGGGGGUGAAAUCCCGAGGCUCAACCUCGGAACUGCCUCCAAAACUUCCAGCCUGGACUCAAGUAGAGGCAAGUGGAAUUGCGAGUGUAGAGGUGAAAUUCGUAGAUAUUCGCAGGAACACCAGUGGCGAAGGCGACUUGCUGGACUUGUAGUGACGCUGAGACGCGAAAGCGUGGGGAGCAAACAGGAUUAGAUACCCCCGUAGUCCCUGAGCGGGCUGGCAAGGCGCAU
rnacentral:rRNA from 1 species